rnacentral:ncRNA from 1 species
AAAAAAAUCCCUGCAGAUUUCUGCAGGGUCCUUCUAUUUCCGUGUAAGGAUAGAAGGGAAAGGGAGAGGAGAAACCGGAGGAAGAACUUAUGGGGAAACGUAAGUCUUCUCCGCG